UGGGGAAUAUUGCACAAUGGGCGAAAGCCUGAUGCAGCGACGCCGCGUGAGGGAUGACGGCCUUCGGGUUGUAAACCUCUUUCAGCAGGGAAGAAGCGAAAGUGACGGUACCUGCAGAAGAAGCGCCGGCUAACUACGUGCCAGCAGCCGCGGUAAUACGUAGGGCGCAAGCGUUGUCCGGAAUUAUUGGGCGUAAAGAGCUCGUAGGCGGUUAGUCGCGUCUGCUGUGAAAACUCGAGGCUCAACCUCGGGCUUGCAGUGGGUACGGGCUGACUAGAGUGCGGUAGGGGUGACUGGAAUUCCUGGUGUAGCGGUGGAAUGCGCAGAUAUCAGGAGGAACACCGAUGGCGAAGGCAGGUCACUGGGCCGCAACUGACGCUGAGGAGCGAAAGCAUGGGGAGCGAACAGGAUUAGAUACCCUGGUAGUCCAUGCCGUAAACGUUGGGCACUAGGUGUGGGGUCCAUUCCACGGAUUCCGUGCCGCAGCAAACGCAUUAAGUGCCCCGCCUGGGGAGUACGGCCGCAAGCUAAAACUCAAAUGAAUUGNCGGGGGUCAUAGCUGUUU
rnacentral:rRNA from 1 species